rnacentral:rRNA from 1 species
GACGAACGCUGGCGGCGUGCUUAACACAUGCAAGUCGAACGGAAAGGCCCUGCUUUUGUUGGGUGCUCGAGUGGCGAACGGGUGGGUAACACGUGAGUAACCUGCCCUUGACUUUGGGAUAACUUCAGGAAACUGGGGCUAAUACCGGAUAGGAGCUCCUGCUGCAUGGUGGGGGUUGGAAAGUUUCGGCGGUUGGGGAUGGACUCGCGGCUUAUCAGCUUGUUGGUGGGGUAGUGGCUUACCAAGGCUUUGACGGGUAGCCGGCCUGAGAGGGUGACCGGCCACAUUGGGACUGAGAUACGGCCCAGACUCCUACGGGAGGCAGCAGUGGGGAAUAUUGCACAAUGGGCGGAAGCCUGAUGCAGCAACGCCGCGUGCGGGAUGACGGCCUUCGGGUUGUAAACCGCUUUCGCCUGUGACGAAGCGUGAGUGACGGUAAUGGGUAAAGAAGCACCGGCUAACUACGUG